AGCAGCAUGGCGCAGUGGUAGCGCGCGGGGCCCAUAUACACUUUGUACCUCACAGUUGGUAUCUUUUCGGAACCCCGAGGUCACUUGAUCGAAACAAGUUGCUGCUA